AGUUCGGAUUGCAGGCUGCAACCCGCCUGCAUGAAGUUGGAAUUGCUAGUAAUCGCGGAUCAGCAUGCCGCGGUGAAUACGUUCCCUGGCCUUGUACACACCGCCCGUCACACCAUGGGAGCCGGUAAUACCCGAAGUCAGUAGCCUAACCGCAAGGGGGGCGCUGCCGAAGGUAGGAUUGGCGACUGGGGUGAAGUCGUAACAAGGUAGC
rnacentral:rRNA from 1 species